GGCUACGGCCAUACCACCCUGAAUGCGCCCGAUCUCGUCUGAUCUCGGAAGCUAAGCAGGUUAGGCCGGGUAGUACGUGUUGGGAGACCGCCUGGGAAUACCAGGUGUGAAGCUU
rnacentral:rRNA from 1 species